rnacentral:rRNA from 1 species
UCAGGGUUAGUCAGGACCUAAGCCGAGGCCGACAGGCGUAGGCGAUGGACAACAGGUUGAUAUUCCUGUACCACCUCUUUAUCGUUUGAGCAAUGGAGGGACGCAGAAGGAUAGAAGAAGCGUGCGAUUGGUUGUGCACGUCCAAGCAGUUAGGCUGAUAAGUAGGCAAAUCCGCUUAUCGUGAAGGCUGAGCUGUGAUGGGGAAGCUCCUUAUGGAGCGAAGUCUUUGAUUCCCCGCUGCCAAGAAAAGCUUCUAGCGAGAUAAAAGGUGCCUGUACCGCAAACCGACACAGGUAGGCGAGGAGAGAAUCCUAAGGUGUGCGAGAGAACUCUGGUUAAGGAACUCGGCAAAAUGACCCCGUAACUUCGGGAGAAGGGGUGCUUUCUUAACGGAAAGCCGCAGUGAAUAGGCCCAAGCGACUGUUUAGCAAAAACACAGCUCUCUGCGAAGCCGUAAGGCGAAGUAUAGGGGGGUGACACCUGCCCGGUGCUGGAAGGUUAAGGAGAGGGGUUAGCGUAAGCGAAGCUCUGAACUGAAGCCCCAGUAAACGGCGGCCGUAACUAUAACGGUCCUAAGGUAGCGAAAUUCCUUGUCGGGUAAGUUCCGACCCGCACGAAAGGUGUAACGAUUUGGGCACUGUCUCAACCAGAGACUCGGUGAAAUUAUAGUACCUGUGAAGAUGCAGGUUACCCGCGACAGGACGGAAAGACCCCGUGGAGCUUUACUGUAGCCUGAUAUUGAAUUUUGGUACAGUUUGUACAGGAUAGGCGGGAGCCAUUGAAACCGGAGCGCUAGCUUCGGUGGAGGCGCUGGUGGGAUACCGCCCUGACUGUAUUGAAAUUCUAACCUACGGGUCUUAUCGACCCGGGAGACAGUGUCAGGUGGGCAGUUUGACUGGGGCGGUCGCCUCCUAAAGUGUAACGGAGGCGCCCAAAGGUUCCCUCAGAAUGGUUGGAAAUCAUUCGUAGAGUGCAAAGGCAUAAGGGAGCUUGACUGCGAGACCUACAAGUCGAGCAGGGACGAAAGUCGGGCUUAGUGAUCCGGUGGUUCCGCAUGGAAGGGCCAUCGCUCAACGGAUAAAAGCUACCCCGGGGAUAACAGGCUUAUCUCCCCCAAGAGUCCACAUCGACGGGGAGGUUUGGCACCUCGAUGUCGGCUCAUCGCAUCCUGGGGCUGUAGUCGGUCCCAAGGGUUGGGCUGUUCGCCCAUUAAAGCGGUACGCGAGCUGGGUUCAGAACGUCGUGAGACAGUUCGGUCCCUAUCCGUCGUGGGCGUAGGAAAUUUGAGAGGAGCUGUCCUUAGUACGAGAGGACCGGGAUGGACGCACCGCUGGUGUACCAGUUGUUCUGCCAAGGGCAUAGCUGGGUAGCUAUGUGCGGAAGGGAUAAGUGCUGAAAGCAUCUAAGCAUGAAGCCCCCCUCAAGAUGAGAUUUCCCAUAGCGUAAGCUAGUAAGAUCCCUGAAAGAUGAUCAGGUUGAUAGGUUCGAGGUGGAAGCAUGGUGACAUGUGGAGCUGACGAAUACUAAUAGAUCGAGGACUUAACCAU